rnacentral:rRNA from 1 species
UCAGCCGCCGCGGUAAUACGUAGGUGGCAAGCGUUGUCCGGAAUUACUGGGUGUAAAGGGUGCGUAGGCGGGCGUACAAGUCAGAUGUGAAAUCCCAGGGCUUAACCCUGGAACUGCAUUUGAAACUGUAUGUCUUGAGUGGAGGAGAGGUAAGUGGAAUUCCCAGUGUAGCGGUGAAAUGCGUAGAUAUUGGGAGGAACACCAGUGGCGAAGGCGACUUACUGGACUCUAACUGACGCUGAGGCACGAAAGCGUGGGGAGCAAACAGGAUUAGAUACCCUGGUAGUCCACGCUGUAAACGAUGAUUACUAGGUGUAGGGGGUAUCGACUCCCCCUGUGCCGCAGUUAACACAAUAAGUAAUCCACCUGGGGAGUACGGCCGCAAGGUUGAAACUUAAAGGAAUUGGCGGGGGAC